rnacentral:rRNA from 1 species
GAUGAACGCUGGCGGCGUGCCUAAUACAUGCAAGUCGAGCGAACAGACGAGGAGCUUGCUCCUCUGACGUUAGCGGCGGACGGGUGAGUAACACGUGGAUAACCUACCUAUAAGACUGGGAUAACUUCGGGAAACCGGAGCUAAUACCGGAUAAUAUAUUGAACCGCAUGGUUCAAUAGUGAAAGACGGUUUUGCUGUCACUUAUAGCUGGAUCCGCGCCGCAUUAGCUAGUUGGGAAGGUAACGGCUUACCAAGGCAACGAUGCGUAGCCGACCUGAGAGGGUGAUCGGCCACACUGGAACUGAGACACGGUCCAGACUCCUACGGGAGGCAGCAGUAGGGAAUCUUCCGCAAUGGGCGAAAGCCUGACGGAGCAACGCCGCGUGAGUGAUGAAGGUCUUCGGAUCGUAAAACUCUGUUAUUAGGGAAGAACAAAUGUGUAAGUAACUAUGCACGUCUUGACGGUACCUAAUCAGAAAGCCACGGCUAACUACGUG